GGUCUAAUCACGGGUACUGCUCCACUAUAUACGGCAACAUGCACCAGUGGAUAUCUGCUAUCUGGCAGCAUCAAUGUCACAUGCCUUAAUGCAACCACAAACACACCUUUACCAACAUGUAUCGAGCAAUGCCCUGUUCUGGCUAUAAACGAUGCAGGAUACAAUACGAUGACAAGAGUGGUUGGGGUAACUGUUACUGUAUCUUGCAGCUCAGGAUUUGAAGUAGUGGGAUCUGCCGCAGUCACUUGCAUGACAGGUGGCAGCUGGUCAACACUGCCGACCUGUGUCGCAAUGUGUCCAACACCCACAAUUUCUCAAGCCACAUACAGCACCAGUUCCAGGUUGGUAGGUGCAGUCGUGGAUGUAAUGUGCAGCACUGGAUUCCAAUUGGUUGGGUCACAACAAAUAAUCUGUUCAGCAAGUAGCAUUUGGUCAGCUCAACCGGUAU